rnacentral:rRNA from 1 species
GACGAACGCUGGCGGCGUGCUUAACACAUGCAAGUCGAACGGAAAGGCCCUGCUUUUGUGGGGUGCUCGAGUGGCGAACGGGUGAGUAACACGUGAGUAACCUGCCCUUGACUUUGGGAUAACUUCAGGAAACUGGGGCUAAUACCGGAUAGGAGCUCUUGCUGCAUGGUGGGGGUUGGAAAGUUUCGGCGGUUGGGGAUGGACUCGCGGCCUAUCAGCUUGUUGGUGGGGUAGUGGCUUACCAAGGAUUUGACGGUUAGCCGGCCUGAGAGGGUGACCGGCCACAUAGGGACUGAGAUAGGGCCCAGACUCAUACGGGAGGCAGGAGUGGGGAAUAUUGCACAAUGGGCGGAAGCCUGAUGCAGCAACGCCGCGUGCGGGAUGACGGCCUUCGGGUUGGAAACCGCUUUCGCCUAUGACGAAGCGUAAGUGACGGUAAUGGGUAAAGAAGCACCGCCUAACUACGU